ACGGGUGAGUAAUGCGUAGGAAUCUGCCUAUUGGAGUGGGAUAGCCUAGGGAAACUUAGGGUAAUACCACGUAAGUCCUAAGGGAGAAAGCGGGGGACCGAAAGGCCUCGCGCCGAUAGAUGAGCCUACGUCGGAUUAGCUUGUUGGUGGGGUAAAGGCCUACCAAGGCGAUGAUCCGUAGCUGGUUUGAGAGAGCGACCAGCCACACUGGGACUGAGACACGGCCCAGACUCCUACGGGAGGCAGCAGUGGGGAAUAUUGGACAAUGGGCGCAAGCCUGAUCCAGCAAUGCCGCGUGUGUGAAGAAGGCCUGCGGGUUGUAAAGCACUUUCAGUGGGGAGGAGAGGCCUAGAAUUAAUACUUCUGGGAAGAGACGUUACCCAAAGAAGAAGCACCGGCUAACUCUGUGCCAGCAGCCGCGGUAAUACAGAGGGUGCGAGCGUUAAUCGGAAUUACUGGGCGUAAAGGGUGCGUAGGUGGUUCUUAUAAGUUAGGUGUGAAAGCCCCGGGCUUAACCUGGGAAUUGCGCCUAAUACUGUCGAGCUAGAGUACUGUAGAGGAAGGUAGAAUUUCCAGUGUAGCG
rnacentral:rRNA from 1 species